GCUCUCUGGUAAAUGGGAUAGGGGGUCGGGCCUGCCCGGUGAAGUUUUAACGGUUGCGAUAAUGUACAAAGGUAGCAAGAUGAGUUGUCCUUUAAUUGGGGACGUGUACGAAUGGUUUGACGUGGAACAACUGUCUCUUAGAAAUAGUGCGAAGUUCUCUUUUGAGUGAAAAGACUUAAGUUUUUGUAAAAGACGAGAAGACCCCGUCGAGUUUGAUUUGGGUGAUAAGUGUUUUUAUCCUUUGAAGUUUUGUUGGGGCAACACAAGAUGAAGACUAUCAUCUUUUGAAAUCACAUCUUUUCAGAAAAAAGUAGAAAAAACUACCGCGGGGAUAACAGCGUAAUCUUUUUUGAGAGAUCUUAUUGAUGAAAGGGUUUGCGACCUCGAUGUUGGAUUAGAGUAACUUUAUGGUGCAGGGGCUGUAAGAGUGGGACUGUUCGUCUUUUAAUGCUCU
rnacentral:rRNA from 1 species